rnacentral:rRNA from 1 species
GAUGAACGCUGGCGGCGUGCCUAAUACAUGCAAGUCGAGCGAACGGACGAGAAGCUUGCUUCUCUGAUGUUAGCGGCGGACGGGUGAGUAACACGUGGAUAACCUACCUAUAAGACUGGGAUAACUUCGGGAAACCGGAGCUAAUACCGGAUAAUAUUUUGAACCGCAUGGUUCAAAAGUGAAAGACGGCCUUGCUGUCACUUAUAGAUGGAUCCGCGCUGCAUUAGCUAGUUGGUAAGGUAACGGCUUACCAAGGCAACGAUGCAUAGCCGACCUGAGAGGGUGAUCGGCCACACUGGAACUGAGACACGGUCCAGACUCCUACGGGAGGCAGCAGUAGGGAAUCUUCCGCAAUGGGCGAGAGCCUGACGGAGCAACGCCGCGUGAGUGAUGAAGGUCUUCGGAUCGUAAAACUCUGUUAUUAGGGAAGAACAUAUGUGUAAGUAACUGUGCACAUCUUGACGGUACCUAAUCAGAAAGCCACGGCUAACUACGUG